GAUGUGCAUUCCAGUUCUUUUCAGUGAACUGAGUCUUUAGAAUCAGUUUACUCAAAAGAUUCGUUCAAACGAAUCGUUCGACGAAGUCCGCGUUUUGGUCGAAAGAUGCCAGCAUGCGGUCAACCAAAAGCUCCACCUGUAAAAGCGUCAUCAACGUCAAGUUCAGCAAAAGAGCAUCCUCAACCACCGGAUGGUGAUUGGAAAGAUUUUCCUCCAUGUGGCAUUCCGAGACAUCUCAAAAUGUUGAGUUUGAAAUAACAGCAAAAUGUAGUCUAUUGGGAAAUGUGAUUUAUUCAAUAAACAAGCUUGUAAAUUUCAAA